AUCGCGGCGACGUGGGCGGUUCGCUGUCUGCGACGUCGCGAGAAGUCCACUGAACCUUAUCAUUUAGAGGAAGGAGAAGUCGUAACAAGGUUUCCGUAGGUGAACCUGCGGAAGGAUCAUUGUCGAAACCUGCCCAGCAGAACGACCCGAGAACAUGUUUCAACACUUGGGGGCGAAGGGUCCUACGGCUCCUCGUCCCUUUUCUCGGGAGGCAAUCGUCUUGUGUGCUGCAUCUCGAUGCUCGCACUAGAAAGACCCUCUCGGGCGUACAAACGAACACCGGCGUGCAUUGCGCCAAGGAACUUGAAUGAAAGAGCGUUCCCCCGUCGUCCCGGAAACGGUGUGCGUGCGGUUGGUUACGUCAUCUUCAAUAUGUCUAAACGACUCUCGGCAACGGAUAUCUCGGCUCUCGCAUCGAUGAAGAACGUAGCGAAAUGCGAUACUUGGUGUGAAUUGCAGAAUCCCGUGAACCAUCGAGUCUUUGAACGCAAGUUGCGCCCGAAGCCAUUAGGCCGAGGGCACGCCUGCCUGGGCGUCACACGUCGUUGCCCCCCAAACCCCCUCGGGAGUUGGGCGGGRCGGAUGAUGGCCUCCCGUGUGCUCCGUCAUGCGGUUGGCAUAAAAAACAAGUCCUCGGCGACUAACGCCACGACAAUCGGUGGUUGUCAAACCUCUGUUGCCUAUCGUGUGCGCGUGUCGAACGAGGGCUCAACGAACCAUGCUGCAUUGAUUCGUCGAUGCUUUCAACGCGACCCCAGGUCAGGCGGGGUUACCCGCUGAAUUUAAGCAUAUCAAUAAGCGGAGGAAAAGAAAC
rnacentral:sRNA from 1 species